rnacentral:lncRNA from 1 species
AUUUGAUAUGUUGUAUGUUGUUUUUCCUCUAGUGGUGUUAUGUGAACGUCGACUACAUAACACUUCACCAUUAUUUCGGCCUAGAGGAAGGCAUUGGGAAGUAGUAAGUAGAUGAUGGGUUGCUAGAGUGACAGAAGCUUAAACCCUAGUUUAUGCGUUGCUUCGUAAGGGGCUGAUUUGGAUCCACUACUUUAAUGCUAUGGUUAGACUUUGUCUUAAUUCUUCUUUCGUAGUUGCGGAUGCUUGCGAGAGGGGUUAAUCAUAAGUGGGAUGCUUGUCCAAGUAAGGGCAGUACCCAAGCGCCGGUCCACCCACAUAUCAAACUAUAAAGUAACGAACGCGAAUCAUAUGAACAUGAUGAAACUAGCAUGACAGAAAUUCCCGUGUGUCCUCGGGAGCGUUUUUCCUCCUAUAAGACUUUGUCUAGGCGUGUCCCUUGCUACAAAAGGGAUUGGGCCACCUUUCUGCGCCGUUGCUACUUUUGUUACUUGUUGCUUGCUACGAAUCAUCUCACCACACAAUCACUUGUUACCGACAAUUUCAGUGCCUGCAGAUUUUACCUUGCUGAAAACCACUUGUCAGAUCCUUCUGCUCCUCGUUGGGUUCGACACUCUUACUUAUCGAAAGGACUACGAUUGAUCCCCUAUACUUGUGGGUCAUCAUACCGCCAGGGGCUAGCGGUAGUACCGCCAGGGGCAGCGGUAGUACCGCUCCUCCCUGAGCGGUAGUACCGCUGUGCUCGGGUUGUAAAUGGGGGUAACGGUCUGAUUCUUUCCCCCACUAUAUAAAGGGGUCCUUCUUCCCCCUUGGUGUUUUCUUAUCCGCUGAGCUCAUGUUCUACCCCCAUUGUUGACCUUCUUAGAGCUUGCUUACUCUCAAUCCCUCCAAUGAUUCUUGCUUGUUCUUGAGGGAAAAGAGAGAGGAGAUCUAGAUCCACAUCUCCACCAAUCACUUUAUCCUCUAUGUGAGGGGAACCCCUUGGAUCUUGAUCUUGGAGUUCUUUGUGAGCUCCUUGUUAUUCCUCUUAUAUUUCUCCAUUGCUUUUUUUGUUGUGGAGGGAUUUGAGCGUGGAGGACUUGUCCACUUCGUGUGUUCUUGCCAUUGCAUUAGUUGCAUCGGUUUGAGUUCUCCACGGUGAUACGUGGAAGUGAAGUUUGAGAAGCUUAUUACCUUUGGUACUUAGUACCCUAGAUAUUGUUCUUCGUGGAUUCUUUGGCGUCCUAGAAACUUGGUGGUGUCUCGGAGCUCAAUCAUUGUGGUGUAAAGCUUCGCGCAAGCGUCCGAGUCUCCAAUUAGGUUGUGGAGAUUUCCUAGAGCAAUUUGUACGGGUACCGGUGACCGCCCCCAAGGUUUGCCAUUUGUACGGGUUCGGUGACCGCCCUCAAGGGUCCCUUAGUGGAAUCACGGCAUCUUGCAUUGUGCGAGGGCGUGAGGAGAUUAUGGUGGCCUUAGUGGCAUCUUGGGGAGCAUUGUGCGUCCACACCACUCCAACGGAGAUUAGCAUCCGCAAGGGUGUGAACUUCGGGAUAGAUCAUCGUCUCCGCGUGCCUCGGUUAUCUCUUACCCGAACCCUUUACUUAUGCACUUUACUUUGUGAUAGCCAUAUUGUUUAUUGUCAUAUAUCUUGCUAUCACUUAGUUAUUUAUCUUGCUUAGCAUAAGUUGUUGGUGCACAUAGAUGAGCCUAGUUGUUUUAGGUUCUGUGAUUGACAAAUUAAACUUUAGUUUUAUUCCGCAUUUGUUCAAGCCUAAACCAUAAUUAUUUUAAAACGCCUAUUCACCCCCCCCCUCUAGGCGACAUCCACGUCCUUUCACUUAGGAUCGACAAAACCUUCUGGUUGUAUCACAUACAACCUUUCCCCAAGAAAACCGUCAAGCAAACAAUGUUUUGACAUCCGAUCUGCAAGAUUUCAUAAAUAAUGCAGAAAGUGCUAACAUAAUUCCAACAGACCUUUAGCAUCGCUACGAGUGAGAAAGUCUCAUCAUAGUCAACUCUUUGAACUUGUCGGAAACACCUUUGUGACAAGUCGAGCUUUCUUAAUAGUGACUUUUCACCAUCAUCAUUUGUCUUCCUUUUAAACAUACAUCUGUACUUAAUAGUCUUACGACCAUCAAGUAGUUCUUCCAAAGUCUACACUUUGUUUUCAUACAUGGAUUCAUUCUCGGAUUUCAUGGCCUCCGGCCAUUUGCCGAAAUCUGGGCCCACCAUCGCUUCUCCAUAGCUCGCAGGUUCAUUGUUGUCCAACAACAUGACCUCCAAGACAGGGUUACCGUACCACUCUGUAGCAGUGCGUGACCUUAUCGACCUACGAGGUUUGCAGUAACUUGAUCCGAAGUUUCAUGAUCACUAUCAUUAGCUUCCACUUUAAUUGGUGUAGGCGCCACAGGAACAACUUCCUUGCCCUGCUACACACUGGUUGAAGUGACGGUUCAAUAACCUCAUUAAGUUUCCGCCAUCCUCCCACUCAAUUCUUUCGAGAGAAAAUUUUCCUCGAGAAAGGACCCACUUUUAGAAUCAAACACUUUGCUUCCGGAUCUGAGAUAGGAGGUAUACCCAACUAUUUUGGGUGUCCUAUGAAGAUGCAUUUAUCCGCUUUGGGUUCGAGCUUAUCAGGCUGAAACUUUUUCACAUAACCGACGUAGCCCCAAACUUUUAAGAAACGACAGCUUAGGUUUCUCCAAACCAUAGUUCAUACGGUGUCAUCUCAACGGAAUUACGUGGUGCCCUACUUAAAGUGAAUGUGAUUGUCUCUAAUGCCUAACCCAAAAACGAUAGUGGUAAUUUGAUAAGAGACAUCAUAGUAUGCACCAUAUCAAAUAGGGCGCAGCUAUGCCAUUCGUACACACCAUCACACUAUGGUGUUCCAGGUGGCAUGAGAUGUUAAACAAUUUUCACAUUGUCUUAAUUGUGUACCAAACUCGCAACUCAGAUGUUCAUCUCUAUGAUCAUAUUGUAGUCAUUUUAUCCUCUUGUCACGGCGAUCUUCAACUUCACUCUGAAAUUAUUUGAACCUUUCAAUAAUUCAGACGUGUGUUUCAUCAAGCAAAUACACUAGUAUCUACUCAAAUCAUCUGUGAAGUAAGGACAUAAUGAUAUCCACUGCGUGCCUCAGCACUCAUUGGACUGCAUACAUCAAAAUGUAUUACUUCCAAUAAGAAACUUUCUUGUUCCAUCUCACUGGAAAAAACGAUGCCUUCAGUCAUCUUGCCCAUGUAGCAUGAGUUGCAUGUCUCAAGUGAUUCAAAAUCAAGUGAGUCUAAACGAUCCAUCUGCACUGAGUUUCUUAAUGCGUUUACACCAAUAGACAUGGUUCGCAUGUCUCAAACGUUUCAAAACGAGUGAGCCCAAAGAUCCAUCAAUAUGGAGCUUCUUCACGCAUUUUAUACCAAUAUGACUCAAGCGGCAGUGCCACAAGUAAGUGGUACCAUCAUUACUAUUUUGUAUCUUUUGGCAUCAAUAUUAUGAACAUGUGUAACACUACGAUCGAGAUUCAAUAAACCAUUGAAUGUUUUCAUUCAAGCAGAUAGAAUAACCACUAUUCUCUUUAAAUGAAUAAUCUUAUUGCAAUAAACACGAUCUAAUCAUGUUCAUGCUCAACGCAAACACCAAAUAACACUUAUUUAGGUUCAACACUAAUACCGAUGGUAGAGGGUGCGUGCGAUGUUUGAUCACAUCAACCUUGGAAACACUUCCAACACAUAUCGUCACCUCGCCUUUAGCUAGUCUCCAUUUAUUCCGUAGCUUUUAUUUCGAGUUACUAACACUUAGCAACCGAACCGGUAUCUAAUACCCUGGUGCUACUAGGAGUACUAGUAAAGUACACAUCAAUAUAAUGUAUAUCCAAUAUACUUUUGUCGACUUUGCGAGCCUUCUCAUCUACCAAGUAUCUAGGGUAGUUCCGCUUCAGUGACUGUUCCCCUCAUUACAGAAGCACUUAGUCUCGGGUUUGGUUUCAACCUUGGGUUUCUUCACUACAGCAACAACUAGUUUGUCGUUUCAUAAAGUAUCCCUUCUUGCCCUUGCCCUUCUUGAAACUAGUGGUUUUACUAACCAUCAACAAUUGAUGCUCCUACUUGAUUUCUACUUUCGCGGUGUCAAACAUCACGAAUAGCGCAAGGAUCAUCGUAUAUAUCCUUGAUAUGUUAUAGUUCAUCACGAAGCUCUAGUAGCUUGGUGGCAGUGACUUUGGAGAACCAUCACUAUCUUAUCUGGAAGAUCAACUCCCACUUGAUUCAAGUGAUUGUAGCACUCAGACAAUCUGAACACAUGCUCAACUAUUGAGAUUUUCUCCCUUACUUUGUAGGUAAAGAAUCUUGUCGGAGGUCACAUGCCUCUCAACAAGGGCACGAGCAUGAAAUCCCAAUUUCAUCUCUUGGAACAUCUCAUAUGUUCCGCGACGUUCAAAACAUCUUCAGCGCCUCAAUUCUAAGUCAUUAAGCAUUACGCACUGAACUAUCACGUAGUCAUCAAAAACGUGUAUGUCAGAUGUUCGCAACAUCCACAGACGAUGCUCAAGGAUCAGCACACCGAGCGGUGCAUUAAAUACAUAAGCCUUCUGCGCAGCAAUGAAGACCAUCCUCAGUUUACGGACCCAAUCCGCAUAAUUGCUACUAUCAUCUUUCAACUAAAUUUUCUCUAGGAACAUAUGAGAAACAGUAGAGCUAUAACGCAAGCUACAACAUAAUUUGCAAAGACCUUUUGACUACGUUCAUGAUAAUUGAGUUUAUCUAAUCAUAAUACUAAUAAACUCCCACUCAAAUAGACAUCCCUUUAGUCAUUCAAGUGUCGCAUGAUCCAAAUUCACUAACUCAAGUCCGAUCAUCACAUGAGUUGAAUAUAGUUUCAGUGGUGAACAUCUCCAUGUUGAUCAUAUCAACUAUAUGAUUCAUGCUCGACCUUUCGGUCUCUUGUGUUCCGAGGCCUUGUCUGUACAUGCUAGGCUCGUCAAGUUUAACCCGAGUGCUCCGCAUGUGCAACUGUUUUGCACCCGUUGUAUGUGAGCGUUGAGUCUAUCACACUCGAUCAUCACAUGGUGUCUCGAAACGACGAACUGUCGCAAUGGUGCACAGUCGGGGAGAACACGAUUUUAUCUUGAAAUUUUAGUGAGGGGUCACCUUAUAAUGCUACCGUCGUUCUAAGCAAAAUAAGGUGCAUAAAAGGAUUAACAUCACAUGAAAGUGACAUGAUAUGGCCAUGAUCUUGUGCUUCUUGAUCUCCAUCACUAAAACACCGGCAUGAUCUCCAUCGUCACCGGCGCCGCACCAUGAUCUCCAUCAUCGUGCCGCCAUCGAGGUUGUCGUGCUAUCUAUGCUAUUACUGCUAAGCUACAACCUAGCGAUAUAGUAAAAGCAUUUGCAAGCACAAACAUUAGUUUAAAGACAACUCUAUGGCUCAUGCCGGUUGCCAUAGCAUCGACGUGAAAGUCGAUAUUUAACUAUUACAACAUGAUCAUCUCAUACAUCCAAUAUGUCAUAUCAUGUCUUUGGCCAUAUCACAUCACAUGCAUACCCUGCAAAAACAAGUUAGACGUCCUCUAAUUUGUUGUUGCAUGUUUUACGUGGUUGCUAUGGGUAUCUAGUAUGAUCGCAUCUUACUUACGCAAAGCCAGAACGGUGAUAUACAAAUAGCUAUUUAACCUUCUCCAAGGACCGCCUCGGUCAAAUACGAUUCAACUAAAGUUGAAGAAACAGACACCCGCCAGUCAUCUUUAUGCAACAACUUGCAUGUGAGUCAAUGAAACUGGUCUCUCAUAAGCGUACGAGUAAAGUUGGUCCGGGCCGCUUCAAUCCAACAAUACCGCCGAAUCAAGAAAAGACUAAGGCGGGCAGCAAAUUGAACAUCAACGCCCACAAACUCUUUUGUGUUCUACUCGAUAUAUCAACUAGGCAUGAACCUAGCUCAUGAUGCCACUGUUGGGGAACGUCGCAUGGGAAACCAAAAAAAUCCUACGCGCACACAAUACAUAUCCAUGGUGAUGAUCAUCUACGAGAGGGGAGAGUGAAUCUACAUACCCUUGUAGAUCGCUAAGCGGAAGCGUAUAUAACGCGGUUGAUGUAGUGGAACAUCUUCGCGAUCCAAAUCACAGACCGUCCUGCGAUCUCGUCACUAUCCGUCCCGCGAUCCCAUCACGAUCGAUCCCGAUCUAGUGCCAAACGGACGGCACCUCCCCGUUCAGCACACGUACAGCUCGAUGACGAUCCCGCCUUCUUGAUCUAGCAAAGGGGGUGGAGAGGUAGAUGAAUUCUUCGACAGCGUGACGACGUGCCGGCGAUGGUGGUGAAUCUAUUCCAGCAGGGCUUCGCCUAAGCGCUGCUGAAAACCGAUCUAGAGGAAGAACUACGAUCUAGAGGAGAGGGUAGCAUGUGGCUGAAAAUUAUGUACAAAAACCCUCAAAACCUCUGGUAUAUAUAGGAGGAAGGAGGGAUGAGGCUUUCCCACCAAGGGAAGCCUCCCUUGGUUCGGCCGAAGCAAGGAGGGAAGAGUCCUCCUCCAAUUCCACUUGGUGGAGGACUCCUCUCCCACUUGUCCAUCUCUUUUGGAUUUUCCACCUUUUUCCUCAUGGGCCCCCUUUGGUUGAUUGGACAGCCAGCCAGGGGUUGUUGCGCCACCCCCAAAGUCCAUGUGCCCUGUCAGGGAGUGGUGGGCCCACUAGGUGGACCCCCGGAACCCAUUCGUCACUCCCGGCACACUGUCGGUAAUGCCCGAAAACUUUUCCGGAAUCCAAAUACCAACUUCCUAUAUAUCAAUCUUCAUUUCCGGACCAUUCCGGAACUCCUUGUGACAUCCUGGAUCUCAUCCGGGACUGUGAACAUCAUUCAAUUACCAACAUCAAUAAUCCAACUAUGCCGAAAACGCCACCGGACCUUAAGUGUGCAGACCCUGCGGGUUCGAGAACUAUGUAGACAUGACCGAGACACUCUCCGGUCAAUAUCCAAUAGCGGGACCUGGACGUCCAUAUUGGAUCCUACAUAUUCUACGAAGAUCUUAUCGGUUGAAGCUCUAUGUCAAGGAUUCACACAAUCUCGUAUUUCAUUUCCUUUGUCCUUCGGUAUGUUACUCGCCCGAGAUUCGAUCUUCGGUAUAUCCAUACCUAUUUAAAUCUCGUUACCCGCAAGUCUCUUUACUCGUUCCGUAAUACAAGAUCUCGUGGCUAACUCUUUAGCACAUUGCUUGAAAGGCUUGUUUGUGAUGUUGUAUUACCGAGUGGGCCCCGAGAUACCUCUCCGUCACACGGAGUGACAAAUCCCAGUCUUGAUCCAUGCCAACCCAACAGACACCUUUGGAGAUACCUGUAGAGCACCUUUAUAGUCACCCAGUUACGUUGCGGCGUUUGAUAACACACAAGGUAUUCCUCUGGUGUCCGGGAGUUGCAUGAUCUCAUGGUCAUAGGAACAGAUACAUUGACAUGCAGAAAACAGUAGCAAUAAACUGACACGAUUAUAUGCUACGUUCAUAGUUUGGGUCUUGUCCAUCACAUCAUUCUCCUAAUGAUGUGAUCCCGUUAUCAAGUGACAACACUUGUCUAUGGCCAGGAAAUCUUGACCAUCUUUGAUCAACGAGCUAGUCAACUAGAGGCUCACUAGGGACAGUGUGUUGUCUAUGUAUCCACACAUGUAUUUGAGUUUCCAAUCAAUACAAUUCUAGCAUGGAUAAUAAACGAUUAUUAUGAACAAGGAAAUAUAAUAAUAACUAAUAUAUUAUUGCCUCUAGGGCAUAUUUCCAACACUGCGUACGUCUCGGACGCUCGUGUACGCUUGUUUGAAUUCCUGUCAAGACCGCUCGCGGAGUCGUAUUUCUGUAAACUGGACACAAACUGUGAGAGGUUUGUGGUCGUUCGGACCUCCACCACAUAUGACUCUGACACCCCAGUCAACUGAAAUCCCCUAUCAGGACAUUUUUCUUUCAUUAUGUCCAUGCUCCCACUUUGCCCUGCAUCUGCACCCUCUUUGUCCGAUGUCGUCGUCGUUGUAUCUCUUCAGCUGUUGCCUAAUUAUUAUCGAGCGUCCACUACCCCCAUGCACGCGCUUGUUGCCUUGAACUACACCAGCGUCCGCCUAGGAUCCAUCCGCAGCUAGGUACCCUCUGUCCCUUAGCGAUGUCGUCCAUGGCAGACAUCACGUCUAGCAGGUGUUCACUCAAAUAUCAUUCAUUUUGUUGAUCUUGUUGUUUUCUAGAGUAAGCAUAAUAGCAAGGUACUCGGUGAUGGAGGAUGAGUUGUUGGGUGAUGCGUGAAAGGUCGUAUUCGCUGACUCUGUAGGCAUAAGUCAAGGUUUGCAAGGCGUGAAAGGACAAGUAUUCUCUCAGCUUCUCCCUUUUGCCGUCUAGUCAUCUUGUUGGAGUUCAAUUGCAACAAAAAGGAAAAGAAAAACAGAAGAAAAAAAGUAGAGGUAGACCAGUAUGCAUAUGCAUAUGCACCUUCCCCGCAACCCCUCCCUUUCGAGCCCUAAUUCUACAGAGAGCCACUUCAGUGCGGGCAUCAACCCCUUCCCCCCUCCGCAUAUCACUCCGACAACGGCGGUCACCCCCUCCCCCUGGUUGCGGUUGGCGAGACAUGGCUUCCAGCUCGUAGUCUUCGGUCAGUUCCUCUCAUCACGUAGGGGAGAGACCGAUCGUCACAGGUCUCGGACUCUCGUCCCUGUCAGAGGGCUCCACGGUGCUGGAGUGCGCACAUACCUAGGACCUCCCUUGAGCCUCUCUAAACCAAGAAUUGAAGACUUUGUGCCCAUGCUCAAGAGGAUUGAGAAUAGACUUAGUGGUUUUGCCACCUCGUUGUCCUAUAGUGACAAGUUAACUCAACUAAAUCUGUCUUCUUCGGUAUGCCAAAUAUUUUUUUCAUGUGCUUCCUCUCUUUCUCUACGACCGUGGUCCAUUAGAUCAACAAAUACUUGAAACAUUGCUUCUAGAGGAAGUGUGACUUUGAGGGAAAAGGGACUCUAAUAUUUCUUGGGAUAAAGUGUGUUUGUCUAAAUCGCAUCGCGGGGGAGGGGGGGCUUGGUAUUUUAGGUAUCACCACUCACAAUCAAGCUCGUGAAAUAUUUGCACAAAGUUCUCCAGCAAAGUGGACACCCUUGGGUCAACAUUAUCUGGGAAACCUACUACUCAAACUGUCUUCCUAGUAACAAAGCUUUGGGUUGCUUUUGGUGGAAAGUUGUUCUCAAAGUUGUUGCCUAUCUAUAAAGAGCACGCUACCUAUGCACCUGGUUCUGGUAAUCCCACCAUUUUUUGGAUUGAUGGCUUGACCAAAGGCUUAAGGAUGCAUACCCUGACUCCUUUUGCAAUAACACUGAGACUUCUCUUUAGCAAGUUCUGGCUUUGGAAAACCUGGAGUACUUGUUUCAUAGCCCUCUGCCCACUCAAGCUCACCGGCAAUUCAUUCUUCUGACACUACCAUUCUGGACAGAACUCAACAAGAUGACAUGGAUAGGUGGACUUAUCCCUGAAUUAUGGUGUUUAUUCUUCUAUGAAGAUGUAUAAAAUCAUGAUUGGUCUUAGCAACUUCCAGAUCAUCUUCAAACAACUUUGGAAGUGUACUUCUCAGCUGAUGCGUAAGACCUUCUAGCUUCUACUCUAUGAUAGUCAACACCAAGAAUCUUUUGAAAAGGAAAACCAUGUUACUUGAAAACCAUAAUUGUUCUGUGUAAUGAGCACAUGGAGGAAACCUUUUUGCACCUCUUUUGGGACGGUUCAUUUGCUAACAGAUGCUGGAGUCAAAUUACUCCUUUCCAGACCAGGGGCAUUUCGUGCUAUGAUUGUGCUUAUCUAUGAUUGUGCUACCUAGAAAAAAUGCACUGGAUCUUAAUGGGCUGUUGGAGCAUCUGGAGUCAAUUUUUAGAAAUGAUAAAAUCUUCGAACAAGCUGUACCUCAAUUUCAAGGUUGGAUUCAUUAUCUGAAAGAGGGACUUUUGGCUAGACAAAGCCAUCCAAAGCACAAAAGAUCAAGUCCUGGAUUGCUGAGACACUUGUAAAACAGCGACAACUAAAUAUUUUGUACUAAAUCAACAACAAUUAAUAUGGAUCGGAUGAAGUAAUUAUCUCUUCCUGUCCUACUAAGUAACAAGAGUUCUUAGGUUUGAACAUCAAACACUAAUAUUUUACAAAGAUCGACUUCAACCUCUUACAACACACACAAAAAAAAAAAUCAAUGGUCACCAUAAACACCAGGAGAACAGAGUUUUAAAGAAUUGUUAUAAUGAUUGGUAGCUCAAAAUUUCCGUACAAAAGAAUACCUCACUAAUACUGUUUGGCUGUUCAUAACAGGCUCCAGGAAAAAAUGGAUUUCUAUGUGUAUCAUAUUGGGGACUUCCUGUGGUAAUAAUAUAUGCUUACUAUCCAAGUAAUGAUGUGCCGCCUGACCACGCAACCCUCUCCAAAAGAAUGAAAUGGAAAGGGGCAACACAUUUGUAACUUCUGUCUUUGCCUUUACAGUGUACAGUAGUUUAUUUCACUGGCAGCACUACACAAAAUCUGCUGUCCCCCGACUGUUGGAAGCACCGUGCAAAAAAAGUGUCUUCUAUCCUACCUGCAGAAAAAUAUAAGAAAAAGGCAGUGAGCUAGUUAGAAUUCUUAGCAACCCGGCUUCUCCACAAACUUAAUUCUGGAUUGGUGAGUUACAGAUAGAACCUACGCAAGCUCAAGCUACGAAACAGAAAUCAUGAUAGCUUUUAUCAUCCAUCUGUACUUAGGCGGCUAUUUUAGCAAAUAUAGAUUUGAUAUCAAUCAUCGCGUAGCUGGAAGAGCAUUUGAUUAUACGCUUUGUGAUAGACCAUCUACUCGUAUAGUAGAGUUGGCUAAAAAAUCAUUAUUGUUUGACAAGACCCUUCCGCUCUUUUCUGAUUGGAAUACAUCUUCCACCAUUCCUUGGUCUACCAUUAGAAAUAGGUAUUAUUCAGUUAAGAAUUUGAAUAGAAUAAUGAAUUCUUAGGUUUAGUCGGUAUAAACAAGUUAACUUUCUCGUGGAAUGAUGUCCAUAACACAUAUUUAGGUGGUGAUUUGAGAUCACUGUUAGGAAGUAUUAGUAUUGGUCGAGGAGUCCUAUUAGUCUAUGUUUACUUUCCUUGCACCUCAAGUCUUGUGUAAUAUAUAUAUAUAUGCCCCUUGGGCCUUCAAUAGAGAUAAGUUGCUUUCUUAACAUGGUAUUAGAGCCUAGGUUUAGGUCCCCUCCGGCGCCGCAACUCGCCGCACGAUCGAUUUUUUUCGGUCUUCUUUUGAUAGAUCUUUGUCGAUGGUCAACGCCUCCACGUCUCCAGAACGGGCCGGGCGGCUGCCUCUCCGUCCGCCUCAUCCGGCUCUCACCACCUGCUCACGUGCAUCAGAUCGGCUGCUGCUCCUUGACGUGCUGCCUGUAUCCGGCUACUACUGGACACACAUGUCCACGUAC